GCGGCAGGCCUAACACAUGCAAGUCGAACGGUAACAGGAAGCAGCUUGCUGCUUUGCUGACGAGUGGCGGACGGGUGAGUAAUGUCUGGGAAACUGCCCGAUGGAGGGGGAUAACUACUGGAAACGGUAGCUAAUACCGCAUAACGUCGCAAGACCAAAGAGGGGGACCUUAGGGCCUCUUGCCAUCGGAUGUGCCCAGAUGGGAUUAGCUAGUAGGUGGGGUAAUGGCUCACCUAGGCGACGAUCCCUAGCUGGUCUGAGAGGAUGACCAGCCACACUGGAACUGAGACACGGUCCAGACUCCUACGGGAGGCAGCAGUGGGGAAUAUUGCACAAUGGGCGCAAGCCUGAUGCAGCCAUGCCGCGUGUAUGAAGAAGGCCUUCGGGUUGUAAAGUACUUUCAGCGGGGAGGAAGGGAGUAAAGUUAAUACCUUUGUUCAUUGACGUUACCCGCAGAAGAAGCACCGGCUAACUCCGUGCCAGCAGCCGCGGUAAUACGGAGGGUGCAAGCGUUAAUCGGAAUUACUGGGCGUAAAGCGCACGCAGGCGGUUUGUUAAGUCAGAUGUGAAAUCCCCGGGCUCAACCUGGGAACUGCAUCUGAUACUGGCAAGCUUGAGUCUCGUAGAGGGGGGUAGAAUUCCAGGUGUAGCGGUGAAAUGCGUAGAGAUCUGGAGGAAUACCGGUGGCGAAGGCGGCCCCCUGGACGAAGACUGACGCUCAGGUGCGAAAGCGUGGGGAGCAAACAGGAUUAGAUACCCUGGUAGUCCACGCCGUAAACGAUGUCGACUUGGAGGUUGUGCCCUUGAGGCGUGGCUUCCGGAGCUAACGCGUUAAGUCGACCGCCUGGGGAGUACGGCCGCAAGGUUAAAACUCAAAUGAAUUGACGGGGGCCCGCACAAGCGGUGGAGCAUGUGGUUUAAUUCGAUGCAACGCGAAGAACCUUACCUGGUCUUGACAUCCACGGAAGUUUUCAGAGAUGAGAAUGUGCCUUCGGGAACCGUGAGACAGGUGCUGCAUGGCUGUCGUCAGCUCGUGUUGUGAAAUGUUGGGUUAAGUCCCGCAACGAGCGCAACCCUUAUCCUUUGUUGCCAGCGGUCCGGCCGGGAACUCAAAGGAGACUGCCAGUGAUAAACUGGAGGAAGGUGGGGAUGACGUCAAGUCAUCAUGGCCCUUACGACCAGGGCUACACACGUGCUACAAUGGCGCAUACAAAGAGAAGCGACCUCGCGAGAGCAAGCGGACCUCAUAAAGUGCGUCGUAGUCCGGAUUGGAGUCUGCAACUCGACUCCAUGAAGUCGGAAUCGCUAGUAAUCGUGGAUCAGAAUGCCACGGUGAAUACGUUCUCGGGCCUUGUACACACCGCCCGUCACACCAUGGGAGUGGGUUGCAAAAGAAGUAGGUAGCUUAACCUUCGGGAGGGCGCUUACCACUUUGUGAUUCAUGACUGGGGU
rnacentral:rRNA from 1 species